GACGAACGCUGGCGGCGUGCUUAACACAUGCAAGUCGAACGGAGCGAAUGAAAGCUUGCUUUUAUGAGCUUAGUGGCAAACGGGUGAGUAACACGUAGACAACCUGCCGAUCAGAUGGGGACAACAUUCCGAAAGGAAUGCUAAUACCGAAUGGCGUGGAGGGGAGGCAUCUCCCCCGCAUGAAAGAUGGCCUCUAUAUAUAAGCUAUCACUGAUCGAUGGGUCUGCGUCUGAUUAGCUGGUAGGUAAGGUAACGGCUUACCUAGGCGACGAUCAGUAGCCGGUCUGAGAGGAUGAACGGCCACAUUGGGACUGAGACACGGCCCAGACUCCUACGGGAGGCAGCAGUGGGGAAUCUUCCGCAAUGGGCGCAAGCCUGACGGAGCAACGCCGCGUGAGUGAAGAAGGUCUUCGGAUCGUAAAGCUCUGUUGAAGGGGACGAACGUGUAUAGUGCAAAUAGUGCUAUAUAANGACGG
rnacentral:rRNA from 1 species